UUUAUUUUUUCCGAUUUUUGGCAUACAUGAUCUUGAAGUAUAAACAAACAAGUUUGACGGUUGGAUCGUUGAAACUAGUUUCGUAGAAUGUGUAUGCCAUCAAAACAAUAUAUUCACUAACAAUUAAGAGUUUAUUUAUAUUUUCGUUAAAUAUAACAUAAGAUUUUGUGGUAUCCACUAGUGUAAAUAUUUUAAAUUGAAGAUCAAAUUCA
rnacentral:lncRNA from 1 species